UAAUCGCGUGAAUACACGACUGACGAUAAGCAGAUGGUUCGAGCAUUGCUUUUCAAAGUUUUUAAUUCUAAGAUAAAAAUGACUUUUUUAGGAAAUCAAAUUCCACGUCGUUUUUAUAAAAAAAUAUUAGGCGUGUUUCGGCGAUGCGGUUUCGAGCAACUUGGUUAGGUAGGUACUAGUUUAGUGAACAAAAACCUGUUUCGGCGACAUAGUUCACAGUAAUUGUUUGAAAGCCGAACGGACUUUUCGGCACCCGGGUUG